AGGGCCACGACGGCCGGAUCCUGGACUCAUUGUCGCGCGCCAGGGAAAAGUGAGACCUCUAGUCCUUGUUCCUCGUUGGAUUAUUUGCUUACUAUCAUGCUUCUGGUUUUCAUUUUGGGGGAAUUUUUUGGGGACUAUUUGAUAAACUUGGAGGGUGGAGAUUAGGAAUUCUGCUGCCACGGACGACGACAUGGCUAACCAUCAGUUGGUCUCCUACCACGAGCUCGCUCGUGCUACCGAAAACUUCAGUGAUGCUAACUUGUUGGGGUCUGGAAGCUUUGGGAAGGUUUUUAAGGGCCAGCUGAGCAAUGGCCUGGUGGUUGCCGUAAAGGUCAUACGCAUGCAUAUGGAGCAAGCUGCUGCAAGGUUUGACGCAGAGUGUUGUGUGCUUCGAAUGGCUCGGCAUCGCAACCUGAUAAGGAUACUGAACACCUGUUCCAACUUGGACUUCAGAGCGCUGGUGCUCCAGUACAUGCCCAACGGGAGCUUAGAGGAGCUCUUGCGCUCCGUCAAUAGAGGAAUGCGACUAGGGUUCGUUGAGAGGUUGGACAUCGUGCUAGAUGUGUCCAUGGCAAUGGAGUAUCUGCACCACGAGCAUUGCGAGGUGGUCCUACACUGCGACUUGAAGCCUAGCAAACUAAGGCAUGAGACAUUGAAGCAGCAGCUGUGCCGAAAGCUAAUAAAUGGUGUAUCAGUGCAUAAGCAUGUUCCUGGGCAGAGUUCUGUUAUACCUCCAGAGACAAAUUCCAUCUCCAUGCAGGACUUAAAGGCAGUAAUAGAGUUAAACCCUUGUUUGCUUGGGAUUAAUGCAUCACUGCUACACGAAAAGAUCCAUUCAUAUGACUAGUAGGAUGGAGCUAGUUGUAUUCAUCUCGUCACAAGAUCCUAUGAUCUUGAUGGUCUGUCUUGUUUCAUGGCUGUUGUAAUCAAGCCAUAAGUUUACUGAUGGGUGGCGGUGAAGGCAAGCGCAUUCUGUGCAGUACCCUGAUUGUUUUGCAUGUCAUCUCCAGUGCAAUCUUCCAGAAUGAACAAAAAACUGUGUAUCUGCUGGGUGCAGUUCUAAAAUAAUUCAUUUCAUCCACCUAAGGAGUAAGGACUACGAUGGGCGAAAGUGCUCCAGAGAUAACUAUGUUGUUGGACUCCAGACAAAUUGAGGAACCAUAUCAAAGAUUUGAUCUGUAAGUUUAUCAUAACUAAUAUGUGCUUGUGCAUUUCAACUUUUACAUUUGUAGCAUAGAUACAACUGUUUCUAGUUAUUUAUUUGCACUCAGUUUUGUUUCAAUGUCACAAUAAAUAGAAACUUUUUAUAAGACAUGUCGGGAACACUUGUAGCGUUGAUGUGUGAGUAUAUUUUCAUCAGAACUGAUGGUAACAAAGACUAAACUGACACUAGUCAUGUCCAACUAUUAAGACAACAAUUGUUUCUCAAAGAUGAACAGUGGAAACACCCUUUUGUAAGAUAGUAGAUUCUGUUGAGCUCUUGGCCCCAAUUAUGCCAAUAACACUCUGUUUAUAUUGUGGUACUUGGCA